CAUUCGCUCUUCCGCGGACCGCACCUCACGAGAAAACCGCGUGGUCAAAACAUCCCUGUGAGUCAACCCACGCCCAUCAUCAAGCUCCGCCUCAGCCUCCUGCAUCCCCGCGAUUUCUGUACCCAGUGCCCCCUGCUCGUCGCCCUGAAGCCACCCCUGCUACCCCGCCAGCCCUUCUGCCCGCCCUCACGCUUGCACCCACGCGACCGAAUCAGGGAUCCGGUAUCCGUGCCGCCGUGCCGGAGAACCUCUUAACCAGGAGUCCGGGAUUAGAGAAGGAUCCAGUGACGGCGAACUAGAUAAGGAGGAUUCAGUUCACCUCUCACCGCUGUGAUUGAUGCAUACGAUCUGGGAGGCUGUGGUGCUCCAUCAACGAAUAAAAGCAGGUCCUCAAACUCUCAGAUGGAUAUUCGGGAUUUAUCCCCUAGCGAUUCCCGCCUCGCUACACACUGCAAUCCCUGCUCCCCCGACACAGAUCCGAUGGCGGGAGCCGCCGUGUCAAGCCUCAGCUUCCACACUCCUCUCACGCGGAUAUGUUGGGCUGGAUGACGCCGCCGUCCAACUCAACCCUCGACUGCUCCAUGAACUGUGCAGUCUAGGUCCUCCCUGAGUUUUCCCCGAGCUCCCGCCGCCGCUUCAGCACAGGAAUAUGCCUUUUAGGCCGAUGAUGUUUGGUUCUUCAUGUUUUCCUCAUCUCCAUGUUUCAAAUAUUUGGCCCCAAUUCUAAGUGAAUAAUACAUGGAAUUUCAUUUUAUUUUUACCAUGAAGGAGUCAAGUGUUAACACUAUAUCUUUGGCAUCACAAUACCUACAGUGUCUGCUAAUUCGGUAGCAGACUCCCAAUUCACAAUACUAGCUUCUGUAGCACAAUUGUUUACCAGAAAGUUCAGGCCCAAGUCCUAUCUUAAUAGUCUUAUUUUGUGAUAAAAAGAAUAAUCUAUGGCACGGUCAAUGCUGGUCAGAUUGGUGAUAGAAUUUUUAAGCUGUUCCCACCCUUUUAUGUUGAGAGCUUAUUAUGUUGUGCUCUACUGCCAAAAUCCUGCUAAAUAUAAUACUAUCCUACGAUAGAUCCCAAUUUACCGCAUCAAGUUUCUGUAGCACAGUUGUUUUAUCAGAAAGUCUAGGCCCAAGUCCAAAGUAGUAGAGAUAAAAAGAAGAAUCUAGGGCAUGUUAAAUGCUGGCCAGGUUAGUGGUAGAAUUUUUAAGUUGUUUCCACCCUUGUAUGCGGAGAGCCUACUGCUUCCAAAUUCUAUUUUCUUUUCUUUCAUUGUAGUAAGCCAAGAUGGAAUCUGGGAAACGAAGAACUUACCCAACUGUGGAAAUGGGCAGAAUAAAACCCUGUAUGUUGUAGCUACAGCUUCCCGUUGUUAUCGUAUUUGAUUGAGUAACAGUGUAUAAGGUGCAAAGUGCAUCAGUUCUAGGCCCUUUUAGGUAUUGUUGGAGUGUCGAAAAAAGUAUUUUUUUUCUUACUGUCCAAAUUUACUUUCUACUUUUAUAAAGAAUGUUGUAGAUUCUUGAGUGAGGACACUCAGUAGAACAGGGGCCUUGUACAAUUUUUCUGUAAGUUCCUGCUCCAUUCAGUUGAAUUAAUUAUGCAAGAUUCCAAUUCCAUAUAUGUGCUCGCUGUCACAUUUGUUUUCUAGCCGUAUAAUUUUCAAAUGCUGAACAUUUUGACCCCACUUCUUUUUUGCAGAAUGCUUUGAUUGAUCCUGACCGAGUCUGUACAACACCAGUUACAUAAUACUGGAAACCACUUGCAGAAGAUGUAGCACUUUCAUUUCCCUUUCAUUGUCAUUUUGCACAUAUGGUUCAUCCAUCUUUUAAAAAAAACAUCAGCUUAUUAGCACAGUGCUCUAAUACUGAUUAUUUAAUGUAAAGUUGCAGAUGGACACAGCUGCUAGAAUUGAGGAGUAUCACCACAAAAACAACCGUGUAUGUUCAUAUACCAGCGCUAUCGUUUUCCUGUCACCCCAAUCUUGUCUAAUAUUUUUUCAUGCAUCGGUACUCUCUUUUAACAAAAAGAUUGGAUGAAAGAUAUGCAAGUAAAACUAUGCAGAAAAUAGUGACAUUACUUGUCAUAUAUCUGCAUCUUAAUUAAGUUGUGUUUUGGUGAAACACUGAGAUGUCAUGACGGGUCGCUAGAACAUUGAAUGCUGAAUAGGUUGCAACUUGCUGAUCGUUUCUUGUUUGGUGACUUGCUAAUAGUGCUAGGCUAUUAGAAUUCUGUAAUAGAUUAGUUUGUAUUAAUGAAACAUAUGUGAAAUCUGGUGUCAUUGUUCAUUGCCCUUAUUUAUUGUUCAGUGAAAGAAACCCGAGAUGCAUAGUUAUUAAUGUUUCCUUCCCUAACCUUUGGGUGUUGUGCGGUUUUGUGAAAAGAAAUGUGGACAUCCAUCGCUGCUCUAUGUUUCUACAGAAUUUGCUGCAUACAUGUAUUGAAUCUUGGUCAUGGCAUUAUAAGGUGAGAACUGGGAAAACAUUGCCCGUUUCUUUGAGCUUACGGAAGGGAUCAGAUACUGAAAGACAUUGUUGUAUAAUUUGUUGUUUUUUCUUAGUCGGAAGAAGUUGUAGAUUCCAUUCCACUACUUGAGGAUAGAUGCAGGAAGCCACAUCCGUAGCAUAGGUUAUCUGAUGAACACAUCUUGGUCUGACUGAAUCUGUAUUCUGCAUUCUCAUUUUCAUUUCGUUACAAUCUUAUAAGCAUGCACUAAUUUAGGUAUAAGUGGCUAUCUGUAUAUAUACAUCAUGUAUACUACUUCAACAUUAUAUUCCAAGAUAAGGUCCAGUUA